rnacentral:rRNA from 1 species
CCUACGGGAGGCUGCAGUGGGGAAUAUUGCACAAUGGAGGGAACUCUGAUGCAGCGACGCCGCGUGAACGAAGAAGGCUUUCGGGUCGUAAAGUUCUGUCCUUGGGGACGAUAAUGACGGUACCCAAGGAGGAAGCCCCGGCUAACUACGUGCCAGCAGCCGCGGUAAUACGUAGGGGGCGAGCGUUGUCCGGAAUUAUUGGGCGUAAAGGGUUCGCAGGCGGUUACAUAAGUCAGAUGUGAAAGCCAUAGGCUUAACCUAUGUAAGCAUUUGAAACUGAGUAACUUGAGUUAAGGAGAGGAAAGUGGAAUUCCUAGUGUAGCGGUGAAAUGCGUAGAUAUUAGGAGGAAUACCAGUGGCGAAGGCGACUUUCUGGACUUAAACUGACGCUGAGGAACGAAAGCGUGGGGAGCAAACAGGAUUAGAUACCCCUGUAGUC